rnacentral:snRNA from 1 species
GACCUCGCCGAGUUUAGCGGUA